UACGUAGGUGGCAAGCGUUGUCCGGAUUUAUUGGGCGUAAAGCGCGCGCAGGCGGUCGGAUAAGUCUGAUGUUAAAGCCCGGGGCUCAACCCCGGUUCGCAUUGGAAACUGUCUGACUUGAGUGCAGAAGAGGAAAGCGGUAUUCCACGUGUAGCGGUGAAAUGCGUAGAGAUGUGGAGGAACACCAGUGGCGAAGGCGGCUUUCUGGUCUGUAACUGACGCUGAGGCGCGAAAGCGUGGGGAGCAAACAGGAUUAGAAACCCCAGUAGUCC
rnacentral:rRNA from 1 species